ensembl:lncRNA uncharacterized LOC104141087
GUACCUCCAGAAAUGAACAUCAUGGCAGUGAAUUACUAGACCAGAAUUUUCCUGGAGAAGACCAACUGAGAGCUGAGAGCAGCCCAGUGACCAGUGAAGUGUUUUCCGUUACAGAAGAUAACUUAGAUGAGGUGACCUUUGAUUUUCAGACUCCAACAGUUGACUCUACCAAUGAAAUGACAGCUGACUUCAUUCCUGUGCACACAGAGACAGCUGCAAAAUUAACAACUGUAGUGCCUAAAGGAUUGGUUAGAUACCUAAUGGGGGCUUAUCAAUUGCACAAAGAAGCAGCAGCUUUAAAACUCCAGGAUGGAGGCACAUCUCCUAGCAAGCUUUUGGGUAGCACAAACAUCCCUAUCUCAAGGCAAGAAUCACAGUCAGCCACCCAUCUGGAGCAGCCAGACAAGUCAUUACCAGGAAAACCAGGAAGAGAAAAUAUUACUGAGCCCAGUAUUAGACCUGCCAGCUCUAGUGCUGGGUGGCCCCAGUCCAUUCACAGUGGGGGAACGCGUCUAAAACAUCUCUACUGACUUCAGCGGUAAACUUCCAUCCUCCAAGAAAGGAAAUAGCAGGAUCUGCAUUUCCCACCAGAGUUAAGACAGCUCUUGAAAGUGCUAGGGUGGAUUGGUUACCAACGUUAACACCUCCCCCUAGCAAAAGGCCAAAAGACGCAAAUCCAGAAGCACAGCCUGAUAGCAAAGCUGGCGUGACACCUUCCUCCCUGAAGAAGACUCAGACUGUGGAUGUUAGAGUUACUACUUCUGCAUUGCUUCAAAAGCCAGCCUCAGGGAGCCUUGAUGCAGUCUAUUCCAGAAUGACACAAACGACUGCUGUCCAGUUUUCCCCUACUUUCUCUCUGAAAGAAGAAACAACAGACAGUAAAGACAAAAACUCAAAAGCAGCUGAAACGAAGGGCUCUAGACCCCCAAGCCAGCUGCCUGCUCUUCAGACACUCCCACAAAGCAAUGUACACUCUUCAUUAUUGAUGCCUCUGGAAACACAGGUUCAUGAUGACUUAAUUCAAUCUUCAUUUCAAGGGCACAGGAGCACAACUGAUAGAUCACAGUCCCUCUCUUUGUCCCAGACACUGAACUGUACUAAACAUAUUUCUCAAGAAACCAAUGGGGACUCUCAAAGUGGAGCGCUAGUUUGGCAAGGUGAUGCUGAUCAUCAGACAAUUACAAGCAAACGUGAAGCAUCUGGAUCCUCUGUGAGCCCACAGACUUCUGCUAACUCAUCCCAAUUAAGCCAAUCACAGAUGUCAGAGUUAAAACUUUCCCAAACUAUUGGAGAGCAAGGAGUAACACCUGUCUUCUUUCCAGGUACAUCUACAUUUGUGAAUGCAGGCCUUCAGCCUCUAAGCACGUUUGAUUCUGUUCCUGCAGGGCAUCAGCCACUAGCUACAUCUGCUCCUGUUUAUGUUGGAUUGCGGCUAAGGGGCAUCUCCACUUCUGCUGAGAAGGGAUUUCACAUACCGAUUUCAUCUGCUUCUACUAGUUCUGGAUCUCGGGUUCAAGCCACUUCUGCCCAUCCUGGAUCUCAGGAAACCUUCCCUAUGAUGCUACAGAUGAGCGCAGUAGAAGACUCCAAGAGAAAGACAAGUCUGCCACAUCAGAUAGAUAAGGCUGGUUCUCCCGCACUGAGUCCACAAGCCAGCAUAACCUCCAGCCUCCCUGGAUUAUAUGACAACGGGAACCAGAAAGUUCCUCUUCAUGGCUUUGUCCCUUCAGCCUCCCAGAACCAGCAACCUGGCAGCCUGGAAUCUUUUCCUCCGAAACUGGCCUUGCUCCAAGCACAAGGAGGGCAGCCUAGCUCAACAACAGCACAUCCUGCUGGUUCUCAUGAGAUCCUGGCACAUCUGGCACAAGCACUAGUUAAGCAGUCUGGUAUCUCAGAUGAUGUAGCUACCAAAGACCUCAGCGGCUUUAGAGUCGAUCAACUUACAGACCUACCAUCAUCCCAAUAUUUGUCUUUUCUGCUUAGAAAUAAUAAUGGCAUAAUGUGCUUGCAGCCCAUGCAAGACUUCCCUUUGCCUACAGGAUUCCCAAGCGUCAGUGUUGGGACUCUGCUUUCCAUUCAACAAAUCCAACAAAUCCUGGCAGCCUCCAAUUCUUCAGCAUUAGAUCUUACAGACUUACAAAAUCUGAGUCCUUCUAGCUUAAUUCUGGUUAAGCCUGUAUUUAUCCUUUUACCCCCUGAGAGAGCAGAAUUCCAGAUGUUGCCCUCUCCUAAAGGUGAGGGUGACCACAAAACUGCUUUAUCUUUCACUAAUAAGCAAGAUCGGAAUUUGGUUACCCCUGAAAGCAGCCACAAUAUUCCAAUGAAAACUAGUUCCUCUUAUCCCACUAGUAAGCCUUUGAGGCCUGAAACUGCUUUCUCCACUGCUUCAAACCAAUCAGCAGAGAAAAUGAAAGGAACUUCUCAGCCAGUGCUGACUAAUACUAAUUCUCCAGCUACUACUAGUUUAUUUCAAGCACUGACCUUAGCAUCGAAUCACUUGUCACUGCAUCCACGGACAAGGAUGAGCACUACAGUGCAGGCCAAAAAUCUGCACAGUCUGCCUGAAGAGAUUCAGUUACCUGCUCCCUGUUCCCAAGAUGCCGAAGAGACUGAUCCGCUUUUACUCAGCGGCGUGUCUGCCGAGCCUCUCACCUCUGCUGUGCCGCCAUUAGCGUUGUCUACACAGCACAGCCUCUCUAUCUCCCCGAAAGGAUUUUUCACAGCUGAAAAGCCAAGCUCUUCUGUAAUUUCUUUACUGUCAGCAAGGGGACUCCCUGCUUCUGAAACACCAACCCAACCUCCGUUUACCGUGAGAAGGACUGCGGAUCAGCUUCAGCGCAGCAUAAAACUAUUGCUGCAAACAACCAGCCUUCAUCAAGGCGUAGUGACCGCAUCUUCCUCUGUCCAUACACAAUGCACAGAGUGUUUGAACUUGCGCUCAGCUGGAACUCUAAAACACCCAUUAAAGAUGUCCGCAAACAUCGUGCCUUUGCAGUCCACUUCACAAAGUGUCUCAAGCAUGGCGUCACUUCAAAGGCUGCCAGCACAAGUUCAGUUUGUGCCCAGCACGUUAUCAGCUUUCUCAGCACUUCCACCUGGAAACACCCACAAAGUUUCAGCAGUAGGAAGCACUGCCCAUUCAGGAGGAGUCACUGCGCAUGCUACAGUGGUACAAACACCGCCCACUUCUACAAAUCCUCAUCUUACUAAACACUUGAUACUUACUCCCAUUGUGCCUAAGUCCUUUAUGAUGACAGAGAGACCAACAGUAGCACCAGUGCAUGAUCCAUUUUCAGCCAAGGUCCAAAAGAAAACAGCUCUCUCUGGGAAACUGCUGUCUACAAUUACCCACCCAAGGAUAUAUGCUGAGUCUCCUGUAAGCCUUCCUUCAUCUGUGUCUGCAACUGCCCCCCUGCCAUCAGCCCUGAAAUAUGAGCAAACCAGUCUAGUACCUACUAAAUUGUUUUCACUGGCCAAUGUGGGAGAAAACACAAAACCAACUGAAAUCAGUACAAGUGCAAGAACAAUAGGAGCUAGUGCACUCUUGCGAACAAACGCGUCUCUGCCAGCCAUGUUUAACGCAAGGACAAAGCAACCCCCCACGGCAGUUCUUGGCAGUAAGAUUGCUUUAACUUUGGUACAACCAUCUGUGUCUGCAGGAUCUGUUGCUCUUGAGAGAGAGCCUAAAUUAACACCAAGUGCAUCACAAUCUUCCUCAGCCAUGACUUUUCUCUUUGCAGCUAAGAAUGAUCAUAUGACUGCUUCACUUACAAACAAAAAAGCGUUUCUCCCACCAACAUCAGCUAUCAGAUCUGAUCCAUACAUGGCAUUGCCUACAGUUUCCAGGGCAAACAAAGUAACUGUGGUCUCACCAUCAAUAGGGAAGAGUGAUGGCAUGUUAUUGAAAGAGGAAUAUUCAGCAGCAGCUGGCCAGCUGCCCAUUCAAGCACCUGUGUUUUCAUCACAUCAAGCUUCAGCAAGUCUACAAAGUCACCCUUUGGAGCAGAUAUCAUCAGAAGAUAACACUGAACAUGACCGUGGUCAUGUAAGUGCUGCAACUGUCAUGCAGGCUACUGGGCCAUCUACAAGAAAAUCAAUUUCUGUCUCUGCUAAUAGGCUUGUAAAUAAGGCUAUAUAUCAGUCACCUGUCUUAAAUGCAGUAGCUGCCAAUGAUGCUGAGAUGCUUCUAAGCCCAGAUUUAACCCAGUUCCUUCCAACCUCAGAAAGCCCCUCAUAUUCUUCACAGAUUCUGGUAGCACUUACACCAGAGAGAAAUUCCCUGGCAGUUGUUAGGAACAACAAACAUCUUGAGAAACCGUUCUUGAACACAGAAGCAGAGGAGAUGUUUAAAAGAAAUGAAGUGACUGAAGAAGCAGCUGAAGGCUUGGUAACUGUCCUGACACUGCUGGAUUCUGAGCCCAGCCCACCGCUGAGUGAAUCACGCCAGCGGAGUGUUUUGCAGUCAGAUGAUGUCCUUCUGACUGGCCAUGCGGUUGUAGCUGAUGAUGUCUGUGGCUCUGGUAACUACACUGUACAGAUGAGCCUACGCCCUGCCACAGAAGCAAGCUCUGAGGUCCACAGGCCACUUCCUUUCCAGGAGACUUUCCUGGCUUUAAUCGCUCUACAGAGUAACAGCAGCCACCCUGUGCUACAAAUCCGGUCAUGCUGUGUGACUCCUACCCCCAGGCCAGAGGGACCAGAUGCCACGUGCUGUCUGUUGGACAGGUUGCCAUCUGAAUGCAGAUACAUCCAGUUACUGCAGAGCAGCCAGUCCAGAGCUGCUAGCUUCACCAUCCAGCUGUUCCAGAUGCUGAAUCACUCAGUGGCCUAUCUGCACUGUGAGCUUAAUGUCUGUCUGCAUGGCAAAACAGGGUGUGAACAGGACUGCUUUGAAAGUGUGGAGAUGCUUCCCCCACCAAGUGAUAGGAACAGCUAUGGAGACCUGCACAACCUGAUCUCAUUUGGUCCAGUUUUGAGAAUGAAGAACAGGUUUCUAAAUAAACCUGUGGAAGGUCCUGAUUCUGCUAUGCUGGUACCCAUUCUGCUGGGAUCCCUUACUGGCUUUGCUGUCUUGGGUGGUGCUUUCCUCAGCCUCUGGCUGCAUCACAGACAGAACACCAAAAACCUAGGUUAUCCACCACUUGGAGAAAUCCAAGGCCUGUGAACUACAAGCAGCUGACUGCACCUGCAGGUUCCACAGCACCGCUACACUGAUCAGAAAAAGCAGUUGAUUUUGCUUUGCACACUGUAUUGCUUUUGUAGAACUGCUGAUGCAGGGAGCAAGGGAUCCAAUCUCUGCUUUAAGCAUAUCUCUCCCUUCUUUUCUUGUGCAGGAGAGGGUCCAAAAACUACAGAGUAAGAGAGAGGGCUGUAGUAGGGGUACAGCUGUAAAGGAGACCAGAACUUAGAAUGCUAUGUCUGCAAGGCACCAGCACCUAGUCUGUUCACAGAAAUGGGAAACCAGACAGGAAAUCAAAGUGCAGAAGAGAGAGGUAAAAUAAAACACUGCAAAGUAGAGCCA